AUGUACUUAGCCAGUGCUACAAGACCUGACAUCUCUUUUGUUGUUAGCAAACUGAGUCGGUUUGUCUCAAAACCAAGAGAUGUGCAUUGGAAAGCUCUAGAGAGAGUUUUGCGUUAUUUGAAAGGCACUGCGAAUUAUGGAAUUCACUACACUGGGCACCCAAAGGUGCUUGAAGGGUAUAGUGACUCAAAUUGGAUCUCAGAUGCUGAUGAGAUAAAGGCCACGAGCGGUUAUGUAUUCACUCAUGGAGGUGGCGCUGUUUCUUGGAAGUCUUGCAAGCAGACCAUCUUAACGAGGUCAACAAUGGAAGCAGAACUCACAGCACUAGAUACAGCUACGGUCGAAGCAGAUUGGCUUCGUCGGCUCUUGAAUGACUUGCCGGUUGUUGAGAAACCCGUACCGGGUAUCCUUAUGAACCGCGACAAUCAAACUGUGAUCACGAAAGUGAGCAGCUCAAAGGAUAACAUGAACUCAUCAAGACACGUUCAGAGAAGGUUAAAGUCUGUCAGGAAAAUGAAAAACUCCGGAGUUAUUGCAUUGGAUUAUAUCCAAACGUCUAAAAAUCUGGCAGAUCCUUUUACUAAGGGUCUAUCACGUAAUGUGAUAGAUAAUGCAUCGAGGGAGAUGGGUAUGAAACCCACAAUAUGA
rnacentral:rRNA from 1 species